rnacentral:rRNA from 1 species
ACGUGAACCACCUUCGGGUGGUGGAAAGUGGCAGACGGGUGAGUAACGCGUGGGAACGUGCCUUUCGGUUCGGAAUAACCCAGGGAAACUUGGGCUAAUACCGGAUACGCCCUUCGGGGGAAAGAUUUCAUCGCCGAAAGAUCGGCCCGCGUCGGAUUAGCUAGUUGGUAGGGUAAUAGCCUACCAAGGCGACAAUCCGUAGCUGGUCUGAGAGGAUGACCAGCCACACUGGGACUGAGACACGGCCCAGACUCCUACGGGAGGCAGCAGUGGGGAAUAUUGGACAAUGGGCGAAAGCCUGAUCCAGCCAUGCCGCGUGGGUGAAGAAGGCCUUAGGGUUGUAAACCCCUUUCAGCGGGGAAGAUAAUGACGGUACCCGCAAAAGAAGCCCCGGCUAACUCCGUGCCAGCAGCCGCGGUAAUACGGAGGGGGCUAGCGUUGUUCGGAAUUACUGGGGCGUAAAGCGCGCGUAGGCGGACCUGCAAGUCGGGGGUGAAAGCCCGAGGCUCAACCUCGGAACUGCCUUCGAUACUGCGGGUCUCGAGUCCGGGAGAGGUGAGUGGAAUUCCUAGUGUAGAGGUGAAAUUCGUAAAUUUUAAGGAGAACACCGUGGGCGAAGGGGGCUCAUUGGCCCGGUACUGACCCUGAAGGCGCGAAAGC